rnacentral:rRNA from 1 species
UUGGUGUGGUUGUUGCUGGCCCUCUCGGGGGCAUGUGCACACCCACCAUCCUCAUCUCUCCACCUGUGCACCUCUUGUAGACCUGGAUUGACUUUCCGAGGCAACUCGGUCGGGAAGAUUGCUGCGCUCUGUGARCCAGCUUUCUUUGCAUGUCCAGGCCUAUGUUUUUCAUAUACCCCUAUAGAAUGUAACAGAAUGUAUCAUUGGGCCUUGUGCCUAUAAACCUUAUACAACUUUCAGCAACGGAUCUCUUGGCUCUCGCAUCGAUGAAGAACGCAGCGAAAUGCGAUAAGUAAUGUGAAUUGCAGAAUUCAGUGAAUCAUCGAAUCUUUGAACGCACCUUGCGCUCCUUGGUAUUCCGAGGAGCAUGCCUGUUUGAGUGUCAUUAAAUUCUCAACCUUAUUAACUUUUGUUGAUAAUGGAUUGGAUUGUGGGGGUUUCUUUUGCUGGCUUCUUCACAGAGAUCAGCUCCCCUUAAAUGCAUUAGCUGGUGCCCCGCGUGGACCAUCUAUUGGUGUGAUAAUUAUCUACGCCGUGGAUGUCUGCAAUYAUAUGGGUUUCGCACUGCUUCUAACCGUCUGUUCAUUCGGACAAUACAUGACGAUUUGACCUCAAAUCAGUA